GCUGGCAGCUAGCUCUCUGCAACUCUCACGUAGUUGCCCAAUGAACCUAAGCAGGAUUGUGCCUGGAUAGUACCUGGAUGGGAGACCACAUGGGAAAGCAAGGUUUCUGCUAGAA
rnacentral:rRNA from 1 species